rnacentral:rRNA from 1 species
UACGAAGGGGGCUAGCGUUGCUCGGAAUUACUGGGCGUAAAGCGCACGUAGGCGGCUUGUUAAGUCGGGGGUGAAAUCCUGGAGCUCAACUCCAGAACUGCCUUCGAUACUGGCGAGCUCGAGUUCGGGAGAGGUGAGUGGAACUGCGAGUGUAGAGGUGAAAUUCGUAGAUAUUCGGCGGAACACCAGUGGCGAAGGCGACUCACUGGCCCGAUGCUGACGCUGAGGCGCGAAAGCUAGGGGAGCAAACAGG